GCAGUUGGUCCUCAGGUAAAAAGUCAAGCGGGGCGCGCCGGAAGAGCGGGAAAUAUAGCUGCAUCCACAAAUCCAAAACCCACAAGGGACCAGCAAACAGAUGAAAGGGCCUUAGGGAGAGUGUAUGGAGGGUCCGGUAGAGCGCGCCCAACACGGGCUGCCCUAGCCCUACUUCGAUCCCGUUGUAGAGUGCUUCGGCUAGUUUCGUCCAUUUCCCAGUAGGCUUGUGCGCGCUGCCACAGAAUACGAACUUAUCAAGCCAAUACUCGAGGAAGGCGAUACCUCCUUCGUGCUGUUUUGCAUGGCCGAUGUAGUAAGCCCGCCACACUGCAUAUGAGCCUUUCAGGGCGCGGCGAGCCCCCAGGUUGUAGGAAUACGUGAACUCGGUCGAUGCAAAGUCGCCCGACACAUAUGGCUUGGCAUGGAUUGGUAACCCUGUGAUGGCAAGGAUGUCCAGCAGAGAGACACUCAUUUGCCCGAAAGGGAAAUCGAAGGUGUUGGUGGCGCUGUUCCAUAGGUAGACUGCGGUAGCGAUGGGUGCUCUGUCAGCAUGAGGGGGUAGCGAGAAACUCAAGGCUAUGGCUUCGCCGAUGCUGGCUGCUUCCCAGAUCGUUUGAUCGGUCUAGAGGCGAGCCGCAUACCAUUUUCGAUCCUCCGCGGUGGCAGUAGGCCACUCUCCGACCCUGAUGUUUAUGUGAGAGCGAGCUUGUUGGAACCAGGAGGCGAAAUUUCCCGGUUCGCGGCGUUGGGCAAGAAUUGGCCGGCGCACGGAGUCAGCAUAAUGGUUCAGGUCGGCGGCUGAUAGGGGCUCUGAGGCCGUCGGGCCAAGCAGGGCUGCCCUUGUUUCAAGGAAAUAGAUGGGUGUUCCUUGAGGAGGGUUGUUGGUAAAACGGCGGGCAAGGUUGGUCGACUAGGAGCUCGCCGCCGUAAGGUUAAGGUUUGGGUCUCUAACAGCCGGUUUGGGAACCAUUUUUCUGGAUUGAGUGAGGUGCGGCUGUGAGGUUUUUUGGUUGCAAAAAGAAGGAGAAGGAUUGGUUGGAAAACGACGGUGAGAUGUGGGGACCCGUAUUGAGGCUUAUAAAGGGGACAGACCGUAACGUCUUUUCAAUCAAUAACCGUAAUGAAGAGACGCGAUGAUGACCGAAACGUCAGCGCGUUUCAAAUUUCAAACAGUCGUAAUGAUGAAGGGAGGCGACGAUGUCGAAACGUCAGCACCUUUUGAAUUUCGAAUUCCUGUAACAUACUCAUUAAGGCCUUUUCGCUUAUACGUUGUAAAAUGGGUUAAGCUCAAGGCCUAGGGGGCAAUGUUUGAGCCCAGCGGGGAUUUUGGUCCAAGACUCGCUAUAUAGUUUUGGAUAACAUUUGGGCCAGUACCUAUGGCCCUUUUUUAAAUACGAAGCCCAUGUAGGGUGGCGAGAUCUGGCAGCGCGCGAGGUAGAGUUUUGCAAGGAUUCUGAUACCCUGCGGGAUUUGUUAUUUCACAAGAUCCUCGUUUCAGUUUGCGUAAGAGUCUACAGUGUUUGGCGAGGCGGGGCGGUGAGAGAGACCUAGGUGAAGUCUAUUCUGGACAUGUGUCGCAUGGAUAGCGGGGUUCGCGAGCUGGUCGUAUCCUUGUGGAAUUCUAAUUGCUGAGUCCAAAUGGGUUUGUGAUUAUGUCUCUGCCAACUGCUUGCGGAUCGCUAUAUAAGGGAGCUUGAGGAUUUGGUCUACACACACAAUCAAAUCAUACAAAACUACUACAAAUCUUCGAGCAUCCUCGAAACCCUAAAGUUCUAAGUGCACUUCGCCUUAGUUCUCAGAUCCCUUUCGGACUCACCUUUUCUUCCUAUUUGUUGCUCUGCUCGCUCUAACAGUGAGUAUCGAUUCACAUGUGACUAGAGGUUUUGUUCGUAAUCCCUCGUCCGCGAGGUGGCACCGGAAACCCCUUUUUUGCUUGUUUAGAAGUCUAGCGCAGCGCAUUCUUUCCUCGUCCGCGAGGUGGCAUGCCCCGCAACCUUGUUUUUUACUUUUGGGUCACCGGAGCCCCGACUCUGCCCCUGCUGAGACGCGUGGCCAAAACAAGUUUUAUUUAAUGUAUUUCAAUAGCUAAAGAAGAUAUGAUGGAUAAAUAUAUGACCUCCGGCACAAACUAC
rnacentral:lncRNA from 1 species